GCAAGAGCCAGGAGUCAGUGUGGGAAUACACUAGAACUUGCUUUCAGGGAGGAAAGGCAUGACUCUACCAGCCGUGACUGAUCAGCUCAGCAAAGGAAACUCAGGAGCCAGGUGUGAUGGCAGCCCCUGUACCCCGAGAGACACAGGCAGGAGAGUCAAGAAUUUGAGGUCAGCCUCCACCACACCAUGAUUUGGAGGCCAGCCUGGGCUACAUGAGGCAAGGUAGGCCUAGACAAGGGUUUAGAAAAACUAGAGUGGUGAUGGAAUUCCCCAAAUUUAAUUGGAGUAUCCGCAUGGCACUUUACUCGUUGGGCAUCACGACACCCCGAGAUACCAGGAACACUGAGGCCCAGAGAGGCCAAGAGAUCUGAAGGACACGACCUGCCUCUGCCUGCUCUCCCCCCACCUCUUAAAGGGAGGCUGUGGAGCCUGGGGAGGCUUGCUGAGCCUUUCCAACAGAAGCUAGGGGAACACAAAUCCAGCAAAGACCAGCCCUUCCUGGACUGCAUAACUAAUUCCUGCUACCAUUCUGGAAGCUGCUGGAAGAUGACAUUACCCUUGGACCAAUCGGAGCAGCCAGUGCCUGAGGUCUCUUUCUAGGAAGCACAGCUCUAAAGCCAGUACAGUCCUGGAAGGACAGACAACUCCAGCAUCACACAGAACACAUGGGUGCCAGGAAAGAGACACCUAUGUCCAGGAAUGAUGGCUGAGGAAUUCCAGGAACCAGUAAGAGACCGUGCUCCCUCAGCCCCCUACCCUGUGGAACACAGAGCGACUGGUCACUUCUGGGACUGCCCCUAGGCUGAGCUCCUGUCCCAGGACCACUGCUGCAUGAUGUGGACAGCCCAGAGGCUAUGCUGACCCACUAAGAGGAGGAUGGAUGGGUGGACUAGGUCUGGUCAAGUCUAGACAUGUCCAUGUUAUUCAAGCUAGAGCUGAGUCUUGGACCUGUCUCAAAACAGAGUCAAGAGGAAUCCUUUGGGAGAUGUAUGUAGAACUUUAAAAUGUCUGAUAGACACUCCCCAGUACCCCAUCCUGGAACACUCCCCCUUUCUUAGAUGCAGGUCCCUCCACUGUCCCAAUAGCUUCUACUUCAUUACUUACCCCCCCAUCCCCAUCCUAGAGGCCCCCCUUGCUUGGGUUCAAGUCCCCCCACUGAAAGCUUCUAUUUCUCUUCUUACCCCCAUUUCCCAAGUUCUCUGUGCCCUGUACCCACAACCAAGGAUCACACUAACUCUCAACAGAGCUGAGUUCAGUCAAAAGCACUCAUUAAAAAACCACCCAAGCUAUUCUAAUUCACAUCAAGGUAUGUGGGGGUAUGGAAUAGCUGGAUACUCAGGGUCUUGUGGUCCUCCCGACCUCUCUACUGAGGGUAUAAAUAGUCAACUGACCCAGCUGGAAUGAUCUGUGCAAGUGGGCACAGCUGAAUGCCACAAGAUGGCAGUUGUUUGGCUCAGAGGAUAGGCCUAUACAACGAAGGAUAAGGAGCAUGUGCCCAGAGAAAAGAGAUAAAACCUUUGGUUCUGACUUUAGAAUAGAGAACACUACAUGAGAAGGGAACUUGCAGGUCAGUGAAUUUGCCUCUUCUUCACUGGAUGAGAGGAUGGAGCUGAGACUUCACAAUGAUGGCGAAUUAGCAAGUGGUCACAUGGCUGUCGAAGCCUUUCUUCUCCUCCAAACAGCUGAGGUCUCUGCGUCAACAUGAGACUAUGAAUUUUCAUCUCAGUGACUCACCAGUCAGGGUGGCCCAAAGAAAAGGAGUCAUGGUACCAGAUCAUCUGGAGAGGGGUCUGGGACCCAGGUAUUCUGUAGAGAGACCUCCAGAAUUAGAAAAAAAAAACUGAAUAUAGGAGC